rnacentral:rRNA from 1 species
ACUGUCUCAGAUUAGCCAUGCAUGUCUCAGUAUAAGCUUCUAUACGGCGAGACUGCGAAUGGCUCAUUAAAACAGUUAUAGUUUAUUUGGUGGUCAGCAAUUACAUGGAUAACCGUGGUAAUUCUAGAGCUAAUACAUGCGCCCAAACCCGACUUCGUGGAAGGGUUGUGUUUAUUAGAUACAGAACCAACCCAGGCUCCGCCUGGCCUUGAGGUGAUUCAUAAUAACCGAACGAAUCGCAUGGCUAUGCCGGCGAUAGACCAUUCAAGUUUCUGACCUAUCAGCUAUCGUCGGUAGGGUAUUGGCCUACCGUGGCAAUGACGGGUAACGGAGAAUUAGGGUUCGAUUCCGGAGAGGGAGCCUGAGAAACGGCUACCACAUCUAAGGAAGGCAGCAGGCGCGCAAAUUACCCAAUCCUGACGCAGGGAGGUAGUGACAAGAAAUAACAAUACAGGGCAUACAUGUCUUGUAAUUGGAAUGAGUAAACUUUAAAUCACUUU